rnacentral:rRNA from 1 species
GGAUUAGUGGCGAACGGGUGAGUAACACGUGGGCAAUCUGCCCUGCACUCUGGGACAAGCCCUGGAAACGGGGUCUAAUACCGGAUAUGACCACCGGCCGCAUGGUCUGGUGGUGGAAAGCUCCGGCGGUGCAGGAUGAGCCCGCGGCCUAUCAGCUUGUUGGUGGGGUGAUGGCCUACCAAGGCGACGACGGGUAGCCGGCCUGAGAGGGCGACCGGCCACACUGGGACUGAGACACGGCCCAGACUCCUACGGGAGGCAGCAGUGGGGAAUAUUGCACAAUGGGCGCAAGCCUGAUGCAGCGACGCCGCGUGAGGGAUGACGGCCUUCGGGUUGUAAACCUCUUUCAGCAGGGAAGAAGCGCGAGUGACGGUACCUGCAGAAGAAGCACCGGCUAACUACGUGCCAGCAGCCGCGGUAAUACGUAGGGUGCGAGCGUUGUCCGGAAUUAUUGGGCGUAAAGAGCUCGUAGGCGGCCUGUCGCGUCGGAUGUGAAAGCCCGGGGCUUAACCCCGGGUCUGCAUUCGAUACGGGCAGGCUAGAGUUCGGCAGGGGAGAUUGGAAUUCCUGGUGUAGCGGUGAAAUGCGCAGAUAUCAGGAGGAACACCGGUGGCGAAGGCGGAUCUCUGGGCCGAUACUGACGCUGAGGAGCGAAAGCGUGGGGAGCGAACAGGAUUAGAUACCCUGGUAGUCCACGCCGUAAACGUUGGGCACUAGGUGUGGGCGGCAUUCCACGUCGUCCGUGCCGCAGCUAACGCAUUAA